CAGUAGCCACGGUAAUACAGAGGGUGCGAGCGUUAAUCGGAUUUACUGGGCGUAAAGCGUGCGUAGGCGGCUUCUUAAGUCGGAUGUGAAAUCCCUGAGCUUAACUUAGGAAUUGCAUUCGAUACUGGGAAGCUAGAGUAUGGGAGAGGAUGGUAGAAUUCCAGGUGGAGCGGUGAAAUGCGUUGAGAUCAGAAAGAACACCAACGGCGAAAGCACUCUGCUGGGCCGACACUGACACUGAGAGACGAAAGCUAGGGGAGCAAAUGGGAUUAGAUACCCCCGUAGUCCCUGUCUCUUAUAC
rnacentral:rRNA from 1 species